UGAGGUGUGUGGGAGAAGGAAAUGGACUGGAUUCCAGAGACCAGCUGGGAUCAAAUUCUCUUAGGUCCCAAAUCUCUGCUGAUCACAAUGGCAGAUGAGAAAUGUCCAUGCCAUAGUUGCAAGUCACUCCAAACUAUUUAGAGUGGGCAUUCAUAGAAGAGGACAUAGAUGUCACAACAGUCACUUGCUGCCCAUGGAAUGGACAAAGGAGAAGCAGAUUUCACCAGGCUGUAAGCUGACAUAUAAAGCCACUCAGUGUGACCAACCAGUGCAAGCUGAGGAGCCAGGAAGCAUGAAGGCCCCCCCCCCAACCCAACCACUGCUCCAUUCCAGGCUCUUCCUGGGGCACAAGGCACAGGGAAUUAUAAAGGCCCUUGUCCUGAGCGCCACAAGAUAGAGCAGAAGAUAGCAACAGGAAGAG